rnacentral:rRNA from 1 species
AGCGAACGCUGGCGGCAGGCCUAACACAUGCAAGUCGAACGGAUCCUUCGGGAUUAGUGGCGGACGGGUGAGUAACACGUGGGAACGUGCCCUUUGGUUCGGAACAACCCAGGGAAACUUGAGCUAAUACCGGAUGUGCCCUUCGGGUGAAAGAUUUAUCGCCAUUGGAGCUGCCCGCGUCUGAUUAGCUAGUUGGUGAGGUAAAGGCUCACCAAGGCGACGAUCAGUAGCUGGUCUGAGAGGAUGAUCAGCCACAUUGGGACUGAGACACGGCCCAAACUCGUACGGGAGGCAGCAGUGGGGAAUCUUGCGCAAUGGGCGAAAGCCUGACGCAGCCAUGCCGCGUGAAUGAUGAAGGUCUUAGGAUUGUAAAAUUCUUUCACCGGGGACGAUAAUGACGGUACCCGGAGAAGAAGCCCCGGCUAACUUCGUGCCAGCAGCCGCGGUAACAC